CAGUAACAGGUGGAGGGAGGGGCAGCUUGAGUGUUGGGAACUCCAGCUUCUCAGCAAGUUCACUUAGAGCCCGGGAGGAAGCCCAUGCUGAAGACUUUGAACAGGAAUUCCUUCUCUGGUCCCAGGUUGAGAUCAAAGAUUGAAAGGGCUUGAGCCUUCCUGACACCAGAGGCACCUUCCAGCUGCUCCAACUAGCUUAUCAAGGAAGAAGAUCAAGGCACUGCUCUGACUCACACAUCAUCUACAAAGCAGGGAUACGCAAACCCACCCCAAAUGUAACGGAAGUCUUCCACUGGAUCAGCUCUUGGACCAGGAUCCCAGCAUCUGAGAAAGACAAACAAAGGUGGAAAAGACCGAGAUUCAGUGGAAUGGACUGUGCUAAGACUCCAAAUUCUUUUCUGAAAUGGGAACAGCUUAGAUCU